UACGUAGGUGGCGAGCGUUGUCCGGAUUUACUGGGCGUAAAGGGAGCGUAGGCGGAUUUUUAAGUGAGAUGUGAAAUACCCGGGCUCAACUUGGGUGCUGCGUUUCAAACUGGAAGUCUAGAGUGCAGGAGAGGAGAGUGGAAUUCCUAGUGUAGCGGUGAAAUGCGUAGAGAUUAGGAAGAACACCAGUGGCGAAGGCGACUCUCUGGACUGUAACUGACGCUGAGGCUCGAAAGCGUGGGGAGCAAACAGG
rnacentral:rRNA from 1 species